rnacentral:rRNA from 1 species
ACGCGUAAGUAAUCUGUCCUGAUAUCUGGAAUAACACUCCGAAAGGUGUGCUAAUACCGGAUACGCUGAGAAAUCAGGAAAGGUGGCCUCUUCAUGAAAGCUACUGUAUCAGGAGGAGCUUGCGUACCAUUAGCUAGUUGGUGGGGUAAUGGCCUACCAAGGCAACGAUGGUUAGCGGGUCUGAGAGGAUGAUCCGCCACACUGGAACUGGAACACGGACCAGACUCCUACGGGAGGCAGCAGUGAGGAAUAUUGCGCAAUGGGGGCAACCCUGACGCAGCGACGCCGCGUGGAUGAUGAAGGCCUUCGGGUCGUAAAAUCCUGUCAGAUGGAAAGAAAUGUCAUAUGCCUAAUAUGUGUAUGAUUUGACGGUACCAUCAAAGGAAGCACCGGCUAACUCCGUGCCAGCAGCCGCGGUAAUACGGAGGGUGCAAGCGUUGUUCGGAAUUACUGGGCGUAAAGCGCGCGUAGGCGGCUUUUUAAGUCAGAUGUGAAAGUCCACGGCUCAACCGUGGAAGUGCAUUUGAUACUGGGAAGCUUGAGUACUGGAGGGGAUGGUGGAAUUCCCGGUGUAGAGGUGAAAUUCGUAGAUAUCGGGAGGAAUACCGGUGGCGAAGGCGACCAUCUGGCCAGAUACUGACGCUGAGGUGCGAAAGCGUG